rnacentral:rRNA from 1 species
CUUGAGAUCGGAGUGCUUGCACUCUGUGAAACAAGAUACAGGCUAGCGGCGGACGGGUGAGUAACACGUGGGUAACCUGCCCAAGAGAUCGGGAUAACACCUGGAAACAGAUGCUAAUACCGGAUAACAACAGAUGAUGCCUAUCAACUGUUUAAAAGAUGGUUCUGCUAUCACUCUUGGAUGGACCUGCGGUGCAUUAGCUAGUUGGUAGGGUAACGGCCUACCAAGGCGAUGAUGCAUAGCCGAGUUGAGAGACUGAUCGGCCACAUUGGGACUGAGACACGGCCCAAACUCCUACGGGAGGCAGCAGUAGGGAAUCUUCCACAAUGGACGCAAGUCUGAUGGAGCAACGCCGCGUGAGUGAAGAAGGGCUUCGGCUCGUAAAGCUCUGUUGUUGGUGAAGAAGGACAGGGGUAGUAACUGACCUUUGUUUGACGGUAAUCAAUUAGAAAGUCACGGCUAACUACGUGCCAGCAGCCGCGGUAAUACGUAGGUGGCAAGCGUUGUCCGGAUUUAUUGGGCGUAAAGCGAGUGCAGGCGGCUCGAUAAGUCUGAUGUGAAAGCCUUCGGCUCAACCGGAGAAUUGCAUCAGAAACUGUCGAGCUUGAGUACAGAAGAGGAGAGUGGAACUCCAUGUGUAGCGGUGAAAUGCGUAGAUAUAUGGAAGAACACCGGUGGCGAAGGCGGCUCUCUGGUCUGUUACUGACGCUGAGGCUCGAAAGCAUGGGUAGCGAACAGGAUUAGAUACCCUGGUAGUCCAUGCCGUAAACGAUGAGUGCUAAGUGUUGGGAGGUUUCCGCCUCUCAGUGCUGCAGCUAACGCAUUAAGCACUCCG